UACGUAGGGGGCUAGCGUUGUUCGGAAUUACUGGGCGUAAAGGGCUCGUAGGCGGCCAACUAAGUCGGACGUGAAAUCCCUCGGCUUAACCGGGGAACGGCGUCCGAUACUGGAUGGCUUGAGUUUGGGAGAGGGAUGCGGAAUUCCAGGUGUAGCGGUGAAAUGCGCAGAUAUCAGGAGGAACACCGGUGGCGAAGGCGGGUCUCUGGGCCGUAACUGACGCUGAGGAGCGAAAGCAUGGGGAGCGAACAGG
rnacentral:rRNA from 1 species